CUUUCAUUUGCAUAAAUUUUGAUAUAAAAAUACUUAAUGCUUAAUUUAAAGCCAUGCCUAUUACAUAAUACAAUCUCACUUUGUUUUCG